UGGCGACCCCGACCCUUAACGGUUCAGCAGGGUUGGCGCCUCCUCUCGCACCUUCUUGGGCCCGUUAUGUCAGUGUGGAAGCGGAACUCCGGAACCUGUUACCAGGUGUGGAAUCUUAAGCUGGUCAAUCUGGAAUUACCUGGUCGGCACUAGUGAGGUAAUCUGCCUGAUAGAGCUCUACUGUCCCCCAAAGGAAGGUACGUGCGGCCCACUGAAGGUGAAGGGUGUGGACAGAGGACAGGGGAGCAGAGGGAAAGCCUCACUUGACCUCUGGGAAGUGCCGUUUGUGUCAUAGGGCUGGACGUUCCUGGAUUUUAAGGAAUAAACACCAACAUUACACCUUUA